rnacentral:rRNA from 1 species
UAGAUACCCUAUUAUUUUAGGAGGUUAGAAUAAAACAAAUCAUUAAAAGAUAUAUGCUUUAAAAUUAAAAGAUUUGGCGGUGAUUUAAUCUUAUUAGAGGAACUUGUUCUGUAAUCGAUAAUCCACGUAAAAUUUUACUUGCUUUUGUAAAUCCAGUUUGUAUACCGUCAUUAUCAGGUAAUUCCAAAAGGAUUGAAUUUCUAAAUUUAAUUAAUUAGAUAAAUUAGAUCAAGGUGCAGCCUAUAAGCAAGUUGGAAUGAGUUACAAUAAAUUACUUUAUAACGCAAUAUUAGAUGAAAUUCUACUAAGAAGGAGGAUUUAAUUGUAUUGCAAGUUCAAUAAGCUUGCGAGAAAUAAGCUCUAAAUCAUGUACAUAUCGCCCGUC